AGAUGUGAGGGCAACCUGGCUGUGACAUGUCACCCCAUUGAUGGCCAGGGUUGAUUCUGCUGUUCUGGCUGACUAAGUGGGUGCCCUCUUCCUCCCUCACUGCUCCAUGUGUGGUCACUCCCUAAGCUGUGUGCUCAGUUGAAGAGAACUUUCUGGUAGAGGAUAUAUAAGUAGCUGCACUCCCCUGCUAGAACGUCCACACAAUCUCUCAAGAAGGAUUAUGUUCCUUCAAUUAAGUAGGUCUUCAGUGUUAUACUGUCUUGGUUUACCAAUCUCU
rfam:Erinaceus europaeus unplaced genomic scaffold scaffold00635, whole genome shotgun sequence